AUUGAACGCUGGCGGCAUGCCUUACACAUGCAAGUCGAACGGCAGCGCGGACUUCGGUCUGGCGGCGAGUGGCGAACGGGUGAGUAAUACAUCGGAACGUACCCUGUUGUGGGGGAUAACUAGUCGAAAGAUUAGCUAAUACCGCAUACGACCUGAGGGUGAAAGUGGGGGACCGCAAGGCCUCACGCAGCAGGAGCGGCCGAUGUCUGAUUAGCUAGUUGGUGGGGUAAAGGCCCACCAAGGAGACGAUCAGGAGCUGGUCUGAGAGGACGAUCAGCAACACUGGGACUGAGACACGGCCCAGACUCCUACGGGAGGCAGCAGUGGGGAAUUUUGGACAAUGGGGGCAACCCUGAUCCAGCAAUGCCGCGUGUGUGAAGAAGGCCUUCGGGUUGUAAAGCACUUUUGUCCGGAAAGAAAUCGCGCUGGUUAAUACCUGGCGUGGAUGACGGUACCGGAAGAAUAAGCACCGGCUAACUACGUGCCAGCCGCCGCCGUAA
rnacentral:rRNA from 1 species